GUUUCCAGUCGUGUCCGUGCAUUUACACAUGAACUGUUCUACCUAAGCUUCCCAAAUUUUAAUAUGUUGUUACUGAUGACAAAAUGGAGGUCAAGUUCAAUAAUGACGAUUUUGACUUUUACCGUUCAGGAGUUAUGGUUCUUGAAAGAUUGAAAAAUUGUGUUUCCAGUCGUGUCCGUGCAUUUACGCAUGAACUGUUUUACCAAAGCUUCCCAAAUUUUAAUAUGUUGUUACUGAUGACAAAAUAAAGGUCAAGUUCAAUAAUGACGAUUGCGACUUUUACCGUUCAGGAGUUAUGGUUCUUGAAAGAUUGAAAAAUGGUGUUCCAGUCGUGUCCGUGCAUUUUCUCAUGAACCAUUCAACCAAAGCUUUUGAAAUUUUUAUAUGUUGUUACUGAUGGCAAAU
rnacentral:lncRNA from 1 species